GACGAACGCUGGCGGCGUGCUUAACACAUGCAAGUCGAACGGAAAGGCCCUGCUUUUGUGGGGUGCUCGAGUGGCGAACGGGUGAGUAACACGUGAGUAACCUGCCCUUGACUUUGGGAUAACUUCAGGAAACUGGGGCUAAUACCGGAUAGGAGCUCCUGCUGCAUGGUGGGGGUUGGAAAGUUUAGGCGGUCGGGGAUGGACUCGCGGCUUAUCAGCUUGCUGGUGGGGUAGUGGCUUACCAAGGCUUUGAAGGGUAGGCGGCAUGAGAGGGUGACCGGCCACAUUGCGACUGAGAUACGGCCCAGAGGCCUACGGGAGGCAGCAGUGGGGAGUAUUGCACAGUGGGCGGAAGCCUGUUGCAGCAACGCUGGGUGCGGGAUGACGGCCUUCUGGUUGUAAACCGCUUUCGCCUGUGACGAAGCGUGAGUGACGGUAAUGGGUAAAGAAGCACCGGCUAACUACGUG
rnacentral:rRNA from 1 species